rnacentral:lncRNA from 1 species
CAGAGACUUAGACCUUAUAUAUACCCAUGUUUUGCCUUUUUUCCAUUUUUAAGACUUGGAGCUUAGGGUUUCACACUUUUGAGCAAUUUCUUCCAUUUUAAAGCUUGGGUAAGCUUCUAAAAACCUAUUUCAACUACUUUACUCCAAUUUUAUCAUCCAAUUCUUGUCUUAAUGCGGAUUAAAGUGGAAAAUUGUGGAUUUUGGCCCGG